UAGGGAAUUUUCCGCAAUGGGGGGAACCCUGACGGAGCAACGCCGCGUGAGUGAAGACGGCCUUCGGGUUGUAAAGCUCUGUCCUCGGGGAAGAAGAGAUGACGGUACCCGAGAAGAAAGCCCCGGCAAACUACGUGCCAGCAGCCGCGGUAAGACGUAGGGGGCAAGCGUUGUCCGGAAUAAUUGGGCGUAAAGGGCGCGUAGGCGGUAAAUUAAGCCAGAUGUGAAAGGCUGGGGCUCAACCCCAGAGGUGCAUAUGGAACUGGUUUACUUGAGAGCAGGAGAGGAGAGUGGAAUUCCCGGUGUAGCGGUGGAAUGCGCAGAGAUCGGGAGGAACACCAGUGGCGAAGGCGACUCUCUGGCCUGGGACUGACGCUGAGGCGCGAAAGCGUGGGGAGCAAACAGGAUUAGAUACCCCCGUAGUCC
rnacentral:rRNA from 1 species